rnacentral:rRNA from 1 species
UACGUAGGGAGCGAGCGUUGUCCGGAUUUACUGGGUGUAAAGGGUGCGUAGGCGGGAGAUCAAGUCAGUAGUGAAAUCCAUGGGCUUAACUCAUGGCGUGCUAUUGAAACUGAUUUUCUUGAGUGAGUCAGAGGCAGGCGGAAUUCCCGGUGUAGCGGUGAAAUGCAUAGAGAUCGGGAGGAACACCAGUGGCGAAGGCGGCCUGCUGGGGCUUAACUGACGCUGAGGCACGAAAGCGUGGGGAGCAAACAGG